AAGUGAGUUGGCAGAGUAGUGCAACUGAUUUAGGAUCAUUACAUGAAUAAUAUUCACUCACUAUAUA
rnacentral:tRNA from 1 species